rnacentral:rRNA from 1 species
CAGUAGCCACGGUAAUACGUAGGGUGCGAGCGUUGUCCGGAAUUAUUGGGCGUAAAGAGCUUGUAGGCGGUUUGUCGCGUCUGCUGUGAAAAUUCAGGGCUUAACCCUGGACGUGCAGUGGGUACGGGCAGACUAGAGUGUGGUAGGGGAGACUGGAAUUCCUGGUGUAGCGGUGGAAUGCGCAGAUAUCAGGAGGAACACCGAUGGCGAAGGCAGGUCUCUGGGCCAUUACUGACGCUGAGAAGCGAAAGCAUGGGGAGCGAACAGGAUUAGAUACCCCCGUAGUCCCUGUCUCUUAUAC